CAUGUAGUCUCUGGGUCCAACAAAAAAUGUCUCAAGUUUGUCAAAAAUUUGGAUGGAUCUAGACAUGACUUAGUAUAUAGAUGCAUUCAAAUUUAGUUAAAUUUAGGAUUUUUUGUUGGACGGAGGAAGUACCUA
rnacentral:pre_miRNA from 1 species